rnacentral:rRNA from 1 species
CGUAGGGUGCGAGCGUUAAUCGGAAUUACUGGGCGUAAAGCGUGCGCAGGCGGUUUUGUAAGACAGAUGUGAAAUCCCCGGGCUCAACCUGGGACCUGCAUUUGUGACUGCAAGGCUAGAGUACGGUAGAGGGGGAUGGAAUUCCGCGUGUAGCAGUGAAAUGCGUAGAUAUGCGGAGGAACACCAAUGGCGAAGGCAGCCCCCUGGGUCGAUACUGACGCUCAUGCACGAAAGCGUGGGUAGCAAACAGGAUUAGAUACCCUGGUAGUCCACGCCCUAAACGAUGUCAACUAGGUGUUGGGAGGGUAAAACCUUUUAGUACCGGAGCUAACGCGUGAAGUUGACCGCCUGGGGAGUACGGCGCAAGGUU